rnacentral:rRNA from 1 species
UACGUAGGGUGCAAGCGUUAAUCGGAAUUACUGGGCGUAAAGCGUGCGCAGGCGGUUUUGUAAGUCUGACGUGAAAUCCCCCGGGCUCAACCUGGGAAUUGCGUUGGAGACUGCAAGGCUAGAAUCUGGCAGAGGGGGGGUAGAAUUCCACGUGUAGCAGUGAAAUGCGUAGAGAUGUGGAGGAAUACCGAUGGCGAAGGCAGCCCCCUGGGAUAACACUGACGCUCAUGCACGAAAGCGUGGGGAGCAAACAGG